GGAAGUGAAAGAAAUCGAGGAAAGGAGUAGGAGGGUGAGGAUUGAGGAGGAGAUGAGGGAGAAAUUAGCUGAAAAAGAGAAGGAGAUAUUUCAGUAUAAGAAUAAAUUCCUGGAGCUGGAGAAUGAGGUGGCAAAGAAGGAGGGAUGGGAGGAUAAAUUGAAGGCGUCGGAGGAGAAGGUGAGAGACAUGGAAGAAAAGAUGGCAAAGUUACAGAAGGAUGCGGAGGAAGCGCGAAAGGUGGUUGGUGGAUUAAAGAAGAGAACUGUAGAUGCUAUUAAUGGCAUUCGAGUUGAUAGCUUAGAUAACGAGUCUAAGGGGCUGAAGAUGCAAUGGCCGGUUCUGGCUGUGGGAUCAACAGGUGCUAUAGCUGUCGCAGCUGCUGUGGUUUAUGUCUGCUAUGCUAGGCGGGCGUAAUUCAAGAGUUUAGGGUUUGUUCGAUACCCUAUUUUAAAAAAAAUAAAAAAAAAGAAGAAUAUAUUUCAAUUUUGUUAGGUAGGAUGUCAUUUU
rnacentral:misc_RNA from 1 species